rnacentral:rRNA from 1 species
GGACUCGCACAAGCGGUGGAUCAUGAGGUUUAAUUCGACGGUAAACGAGGAACCUUACCAGGGUUAGAAAUGCCGAUGACGUUCCGGUGAAAGCUGGAAUUUCUUUACUGACAUCGGCACAGGUGCUGCAUGGUUGUCGUCAGCUCGUGGCUUGAGUUGUUCCCUUAAGUGGGGUAACGAGCGCAACCCCUGUUUCGUGUUGCAAGUGUCACGAAAGACCGCCCAGCCGAAAUUCUUGAAAAGUUUUUCAAAAAUUUCGGCUGGGAGGAAGGCGGGGAUGACGUCAAAUCAGCAUGGCCCUCUGAUACCCUGGGCUACACUCAUGAUACAAUGGCUGAUACAAAGAGUUGCCAAAUCGUAAGAUGGAGCUAAUCUCAAAAAAUCAGCCUCAGUUCGGAUUGGGGUCUGCAACUUGACCCUAUGAAGUUGGAAUCGCUAGUAAUCGCGCAUCAGCUAUGGCGCGGUGAAUACGUUCUCGAGUCCU